GAAUUUGGAGAAUUAUUUAAUGCCAAAUGAACUGAGAUCAGCUAAUUAGAGGAACCAGCACACUCACUGUGCAUAAAAAGAUGCCUUUUAGUCAUAAAUGGAAGCAGCAUCAGCACUCACAACCAUAAUAUGCUGGGUAUUAGAGUGCCAGGGCUUUGUGCUAAGUGGGCACUGGGUCCCACCAUAAGUGUCAAGUCAACAAACUAAAGUUUAUAUGUAAUCCUCCUUCUCUGAAAAGCAUGUCUAUUGAUAUUUCCCUGGUGAAGGAAUAAAAUUUAAUAUCUUAAUUUUUAUUUACAUUACUACUAAUAAUAAUUUGCCCUUUCUGCCACAUUCUAUCCAUGACCAUCAGAGAGAAUUACAAAUAUUAAUUAAAACCCUUUACACCUCCGGGAAGACAUGCAAUUACUAUAUAUAGUCUCAGAGACCUCAGUCAACAGGCUGUCAGAUAAACCACCCUAACUCUUUGACUCACAACUCCUGACUUCUAUUCUCAGACUGUAUCUUUAUUUUCUGUUACCAUCAAGAGACUUCUGGCCAAAUUGCUGGCUCUUGUGACAUCCCAAAGAAAGAUGGGGAUGGAGGAUAGGAUGUAGGUUUAGUCACAGUUAACGAUUCGGGACAUUUAAGGACAAGCCUGGGGAGAGAAGCCUUUAAUUGAGUGUGGACAAAGACAAAGCUUUAUAAGAAAAGCUUGGAUGGCAUUUGCAUUUUCUCACAUUAUGUAAUAUAUGACAAGGGAGGAUUCAUGUCCCUGCUAGAAGAAAAGCCAACACACUUUUUUUUUUCUAAAAUUGCUGUGAGCUAAUAAUAACUGCAUCUAUUAACAGCCGUGACUUCAGAACCAUAGUAUGAACUAGUUUACCUCAUCACAUAACUUAGAAUGCUUCCCAGAUUGAAAAGUCUUAUCUGGGACCUUUGUUACAAAACCAUUACAUUGUUGUCCAUCUAUAGAUGUAUACACAUACAUAUAAAGGGACAUGCAAAUAUGCCUAUAAUUUAGAUCUUCUGUGUGUUAAGAUAAUUUGAGAUCUGGGUCUUCUCUCUGGAACUUUGUUAUCGGAGUCAGCAUAUUUAUUCAGCAAUGUGUCUAUGUGUCAAUCAAUAGAUCAUUUUUUAACACAAGUUUCACUGCCUAAGGAAUACACACUAUUGGGAUUUAGGAAACUCUGGUCACAAGGCUGGUCUUCCUGCUCGGUCCUUGCCUUCCAGUCUGCUCUCAACUCAGCCUCAUGCCAGUUUGCUCUGACCUUGAGGAAUUGGGGCUAUUUUUGCUGCUCUGCAGUACUAGGCAUGUCCUCCACACAGCCAUUGGGCUCCCUGUCCUGUUCAGGGCUUUGUCCAAAUGACAUCCACUAAUGAGGCACUCCUUGCCCAUGCCCUGGUAAUUGGGACAUUCCCUACACCAAGAGCUGACCUUUGCCUUGUUUUUGCUCAAUGUGUCUAAUGGACUAUCCUAUUUGUUCAUUUGUUCUCGUGUCACCUCCAAGCUAAGAUGAACUCUCCAUGAGCCUAGAGAUUUCAAAGUUUUCUUCAUUAUUAUAUUCUUAGUGUCUAAGAGUGGUGAUGGUAACCACUCAAAAUGUUUGUUGACAAGAAGAACACAGAAGCCCGUUUGAAGGGGCUCCCACUGAACAAAUCUGCCAUAAUUUGAGACUCAAAAUUAGUCAACGUACAAAGUAUAAGGACACAGGAAGGUAUAUAAAACAUACAGGAGCUACUGAUAUAAAUAAAGAAAACUUAAAAACAACCAAACACCAAGGAAUAAACAGAGAACCAUCACUUAACAGCCACAGAGAUUCCUGCUCUAACCUAGAAUUGUAAAUGAUACAAACCUAGUAUACAUCUAGUAAGGGAAGAUGUGAGGCAUUCUAAAGAACUACAUAGUUUUAAAGUACUCACCACAAUUUACUUGGUAAUUACAAAAGGAAACUAUUGUUUCACAUGGGUGAUUUGCCAUGUACAACUUGAUACAAGUUGUCAACCUUAAUAUUGUCAGUAAUUGAAGGAAUAGACAGAGCACACUGGGAGAUGCCACACAAUUGUAAGAAUUCAGCAUCUCCUCUUGUGCAUUACCAACUUAUAUCUCACAACUUAUACCUCAUCAUUGGGAAAUACAAGAGGAACUCGGCUUGCUAGAAAGCAUACAACAUAGUCCCUCUGCAGGUUUAAUUGUCACUGUCAUAAAAUUCAAAGACAGAAUGACUUCGGAUUCAAACAGACUAAAGAUAAAUGCCAAUGGCUCACAGACAACAAAUUAGCUUACAGUUUCCAUUGGCUGCAAAGAGCUUUGUUCGUUAGAUAGUAUUAUUUUAUCAAUGUUAAUUGUCUGACUAUGAUAAUCAUGUUGUCACAUAAGACGACACCCAACCCCACAGUUAAAUAUGCUGAUGUAUUUGGGAUAAAGGGACAUCUUGUUCACAAAGUUUACAAAUGUUUUGUUCAUGUGUACACAUCUGCAUUUUAUUCCCAUGUGUAAAUACAUGGAGGUGGGGAGAAUACAGCAAUGGUACUAAAUACACAGCAGCCCUUCUAAACCUCAUCACAGGAGACAGAAAUUCUGUUACCAGCCUCCAAGUUCUCAUUAAGCUGGAAAAUGUGUUGAAAUGUUAAACAAUGUUGAAAUCGAAUGCAUGAAUGAAUGCAGCAAUGAAUGAAUGGAUAUAGGAAACUAGGGGAGAAUGUUUUCCAGAAUUCUGUUGCAGGAAACAUGGAGCUGGAAUGGGACAGGGGCAUUGCAGGGAGUUUUGUCUGUCCUGCAGAAUAAGUAGCAACCUCCUCAAGGGCUCCGUUGCUAACACUGCUGACCUUGACAUGGCUGGUGUAGCUGCUUAGACACUGUGCCUUUUAGCUCAACAGUUGCUGAUCCCAUACUAAACUUAUAAAAGGUUGUUUUCUUCAGGCCCAGUCGGCCAGUUUCACGGUCUGAGAUGAGGUUUUCAUUGCUGCUCUCUGCCCUGCUGUACUCAUUAAUAACCACCAUCCCUGUCUUCUUCCUGAUGGCCUAGAUCAUAGAUUAAGGGAUUUCCCCCCUCCCCUCACCCUUCUGCACAGUAUCAUUCAGGAAACCAGACAGGAGAGUAAUAAUAGUUUUACUACGUCAGAGCCUUGGUCAAUACAUAAUUAAGUCAUAUUUUAAUGGAACAGACAUAAAAGAUAGAUAGUUAUCAACUGUAGUACUAAAACCAGACCCCUAAAAGCAAAGCUAUUUCUAACCUUCUAGAGUUUUUAAUCGGAGAUAUACUCUUCUCAUUACUUUUAUACUUUUUUUCCUUUCCAUUAAAAUCCAUAUUCUGGUCUAGGGUACUAAAUGUUGCAGGGAUUUUGUUGUUAUCUUUCCUUGACCACAAAUUUACAAAGCAAUUCUCAGGAGAGAAACAUCCUAGACUCUGCAGGUGGGCUGGGCUCUUCAAAGCUCCUGUUACUCACUAGUUAAUCGCAAACUAUGAACUCACUUACACCCUGAAAACUUUCUCUCACAAUUCCUAUGCAGGUUGCCAAAAAACCAAACACCUGGAAAAAACAUAGGAGGUGGCAAGGAGCUGAGGAGAGAAGAAAGUGGGCAAAUCUCCCAUUUGUUACAGCAGACUCUGCCUUUUUUUUUUUUUUUUUUUUUUUUAAUCUUCAAGAAGUUCUAAAGCAGGAACUUCUUGAAUUUCUUGAGAAUUUCCCAGGCAGCGUAGGUCAUUCCAUAUUCCUGGAUACCUCCAAUAAAGGACUGUUCAGUGCUUGUGGAAUAGAGACAGGAACUCCUACUUCUUUUACUUACAAAGUGUCCUUGGCACUAACAUCUGAAAAUUGUGUUGUUCUUAAGAAAAUAUUCAAGGAACUCUGCAUAUAAGAGGGAAUUGGCCAUUUCUCAUUUUUCUAAUGAGAAUUCGCUGUUUAGGUCUGCAUUCAAUGUUUUAAUUAGAUCAUUGGUUUGCUGACAUCUAGUUUCUUGAGCUCUUUAUUUAAUUUGGGGUUUUGUUCCCUUCUUACCAAUGGGAGAAGUGACUCUGACCUUUUGCCCUUUAUGCCUAUGAGUGGGACCUUUUUCCCCCUACUGGGUGGCCUCACUAUGCAGCUUUGAUAUGAGGGUUUUAUGCCUAGUCUUAUUAUAUCUUGUCAUGGUAAGUGUGGUUGAAAUCAUUGGGAAAUCUGCUCUUUUCUGAAGGGAAUGGAGACAGAGGACUCGGGUGGGGGUUGGAGGGGGGGAGAGGUCGGGUGGGAGUGGAGGGGGGAGAGCUGUGGUUGUGAUGUGUUGUAUGAAAAAAUAAUAUGAUCAAGUAUUUAAAAAAAAUAAAAGAAGGAUUUGGGCUUCGGAUAAAUACAGGGCAGCCUCUCAAAAUGGAGUUCCGGUGCUGGUCAAGCUUAAUGCUUAGUGUUAAGGCCCUUUGAUGUUGCUGCCAUCACAGAACGUUCAACUGUAGCUGAUUUUUCUUUACACCUUCAUUCUGUAAGCAGCAUCAAUUCCUUAGCAAGGAUGGCAGGUUGGAGGUUGAUUAGCAAUGAUUGGGAAGUGAUGCCACAGCUCAUCACGCCGCCAUUGUAUUCCAUUAGCUGGGAAGCACAGAUUGAGAACACCGCAUUAAAACAAAACCCCCGUGUACAAUUCACGAGGGACCAAAGAGCAUCUGUACCAUUCAAGGGUUUAAAGAUUUGGGUCACCCACAUAGUAUUAUCUAAAAUAGCAUCACGGGAAGGAGGCAGCACAGAGGGGCAUGUGGUGGGAGGAGAGUGAGAUGAGCACUGGAACGGAGUCUCUGAGCUUGUUGAAAUGGAGCAACACCAUACCGAGAGAGAUUAAGCUGUUUGCAUAUGUUAAACGGCUUUCGUUUACACACACAUUCGUGGGGGUGUUUACCAAUUAAUAUACUAAAGGAAGCACAAAUCAUGUGCAAAUCACCAGUUCCUAGACACAAUUUAAGGCUCAUCUUUCAUGCAGUGUUGGGCUUUUUAGAACUGAAAUGAUGCCUUGCUGGGAAGGAGUGAGGGGAGAGCGGAGAGGAGCGGAUCUAUGCAUCACGCCGCUGUGACAGUUUUUAAUAUCUAGUCUGCGUGGCAGAGACCCCACUAAGCUUGAAGGAUUUCUUGGCCUUUUCUAGCUGCAGCGUUCUGAUUUGCAUUGAGACCUUUCAUUACGCUCACCUGGAUAGUUUGCAGAAUCUCAGCUUCUCAAGGUCUUUAACAUGACUCAGACCUGAAGAAUCCCUUAGCAAAAGGGAAGAACAUGCCCAGGACCUCGGAGCAGCAUGGGGCAUCUUUUAGGGAGCCAUUAUGUUUGGAAUCCUCUGCUCCCGCUUCUUGUCCUAGAUUAUGUCCCAGGCACUGCCUAUGCUGAAGUCGGCAGUGGAAUCUUGACAAGUUCUGCAUGUCAUCAGUACUAUUUCAAGGAGCUCCGGGAUGCCAGGAAGGUGACACUGCCAGCUUCUCUAAAGUUUUCUACAAGCUUAUCCCUGAACGGCUCUCCUAUCAUCUGAGGCCAGGUAGUGAUGGCUUUCUUAGCUGACUGAGGAUGAUUAUAAAAAUAAGGAUCCUUAAUCAUCAGAGAAAUGCAAAUCAAAACAACCCUGAGAUUCCAUCUCACACCAGUCAGAA